GCUGACGAGUGGCGCACGGGUGAGUAAUAUAUAGUUAAUGUGCCUUCAAGACCGGGAUAGCCAUUGGAAACGAUGAUUAAUACUGGAUAUACCUUCUCCUCAUAAGUGGAGUUGGGAAACGUUUUUUCGCUUGAAGAUCAGACUAUAUCCCAUCAGUUAGUUGGUAGUGUAAGAGACUACCAAGGCAAUGACGGGUAGCGGGUUUGAGAGGAUGAUCCGCCACACUGGUACUGAGACACGGACCAGACUCCUACGGGAGGCAGCAGUGAGGAAUAUUGCACAAUGGAGGAAACUCUGAUGCAGCAACGCCGCGUGGAGGAUGACGCAUUUCGGUGUGUAAACUCCUUUUAUAUGUCAAGAAAAUGACGGUAGCAUAUGAAUAAGCACCGGCUAACUCCGUGCCAGCAGCCGCGGUAAUACGGAGGGUGCAAGCGUUACUCGGAAUCACUGGGCGUAAAGGACGCGUAGGCGGGAUGCCAAGUCUGAUGUGAAAUCCUAUGGCUCAACCAUAGAACUGCAUUGGAAACUGGUAACCCUAGAGUAUGGGAGGGGGAGAUGGAAUUAGUGGUGUAGGGGUUAAAA
rnacentral:rRNA from 1 species